rnacentral:rRNA from 1 species
AUGAAUCAAAACUUUCAACAACGGAUCUCUUGGUUCUGGCAUCGAUGAAAAACGCAGCGAAAUGCGAUAAGUAAUGUGAAUUGCAAAAUUCAGUGAAUCAUCGAAUCUUUGAACGCACAUUGCGCCCGCCAGUAUUCUGGCGGGCAUGCCUGUCCGAGCGUCAUUU